CGACCAUAGCGUUAUGGACCCACCUGAUCCCAUGCCGAACUCAGUAGUGAAACGUAAUAGCGCCGAUGGUAGUGUGGGGUCUCCCCAUGUGAGAGUAGGACAUCGCCAGGC
rnacentral:rRNA from 4 species